GAUGCUGCCAAAACUUGCUGAGUGCAACCUGCCCCCACACUUCAGGAAACAGAGAGACUCCCUGAACAAGAGAGAGGAAGAAUGGGAGCGCUGACCCUGAGGAUGGGCCUGGAAGCCAAGACCACACAGGAGGCAGAAGUACUGAGAGAUGGGAUGAUAGAGCUGACCACAAAGAAACAACAAUCGGAUUGAAAGACAUUAAAUCAGAAUCGUGGUUGUCUGAACUGAGUAGACAAAACAAUGAACAAUGUCCAAAAUACAAAUUGAAGUAACAACUCUACUGAAAAUUGGGGGAAAGGGAAAGAGAAAAA